rnacentral:miRNA from 1 species
ACUGAAAGGCAAUGAAGGAGGAGC